rnacentral:lncRNA from 1 species
CAAAAUACAAAUAAUUCAAAUCAUAUUAUACAGUCAUCCAAAUACCAAAUACCAAAUCCUUAAUAUUACAAAUAACAAUAAUUCAAAUUCAAAUUAUAAAGAAAUGUAAUUUCUUUAAUUCUCUUCAUUUGUCUUUGUCACCUUGAAAACAAAAAUCCUACACCAAAAAGUAAAUAAAAUGUUAUUAACAUGCUGCAAUAUUGAUAAUAGUCAUUGUAAAAUUUCAAAAAUCAAACAUAUAGCAAAUUUUUAGCAUUUUCAAGGAAAUAAUAAUUAAACAAGAUAAAAACUUUACCUACCACACUCACACACUGUCAUUUGGAUCAUUAAUGGAUGCCUCUUCAACCCUUUCAACUGCUUGAACGGCAUCAUCUUCAUUCUCUUGAACAUCCAGAUGCAAAUUCGAUUUCGAUGUAUCAACUUUGAAUUCCAAAUUUGACAUUAUAACCUCAAUUAAAUGUGUAAGAAUUCUAAAUUAGUUUAUAAACUUAAAACAUGAUAAAACAGAAAAAAACAAUAGCAAAACAAGAGAAAAGCAGAAGAAAAAUAAUAGCAAAACAGCAGAUAAAACAGCAAAAAAAAUAGUAAAAUAGCAGCAAACACAGCAACAAUACUAUCAAAACAGCAGCGGCAACGAAACAACAGCGAAACAACAACAAAACAAUAGUAAAAUAAUAACAAAACAGCAGUAAAAUAGUAGUAAAACAACAACAAAACAUCAGUAAAACAGCAGUAAAAUAGUAGUAAAACAACAACAAAACAUUGAAAAAAUAGCAAAAAAAAUGGCAACAAAACAGCAGUAAAACGACAACAAAAUAGUAAUAAAACAACAACAAAACAACAGCAAAACAGUAACAAAACAGCAGUAAAACAGCAAUAAAAGGAAAAAUUUCAGUGGUGUACCGUGAUGGUGGGUAGUUAGCGCGGCGGGAAGUGGUGCUGGGGAUGAAAGCCUAUCUUGUGCGCAGCUGUUGUGGUGGUGGCGCGGCUGUCGUGGCAUGAGUUCGUGCCUCCAGUGGCUGCGUCGGUGAGGGUUGGGGUGUACUGUGUGGUCGGAUUGGCGGCGGCGGCUAGGAGCAGCCAACGGCUUUGAUGGCAGCGGCCAACGACUUCUCUUUCCUUACGCGUUAGGGUUUUUGUGUUUAUGGACUUGUGCAAUCGUGUGUCAUUUGUGAAGCGUGUAAAAUUAGGGUUGCCUUACUUGUUAAGUUGUUAUUUGCUUAAAAUUACAAUAUUAACCUUCAAAUUUUAAAAAGCUUUCAAAUAAAUUUAAGGAUAAAAAAGUAAUUUAAUUAAAUAAAUAAUAAAUGAAUUUUAAACGAAUCGAAUAUGGUUGUCUCUAUGUGUUCCAUCAAUUGGUGCCAUAUCCAAGAAAGCCUAUGCCCUUAUACCAAUUUGACGAAGCAAAAACAAUAUAGAACAAAGUAAGGGUGGGCAUGAGUUGGGUUGGAUAGGAUUUCCAAAAACCCAACCCAACCCUUUAUUGAAUGGGUUUAGAUAAACUCAACCUAAUCCAAUUAAAUAAAUAUAUUCAACCCAAUCCAACUCAACCCUUAAAUUAUCGGGAAGUUUUUGGGUUGAUUAGAUUGAAGAUUUGAAAUCAAAUUAAUAUUAAAAAUUAAAUAAAGAAAAAGAUACGAAAGUUGAAAUAAAACUUAUUGAGAUCAAAUGUAAAAAUAUUAUAUUAUGAAAAUUCUAUUCACUAUCUAAUAUUUGAUAAAGAAAACUAAAGGAAUAUAGAAUGAAUAAAUCAGAAAAGUAUCUUAGUUGAUUGAGAAUUGAGAUUUAAGAGAGUGAUUUUAGUUUUGGAAUUAGACUCUAGAUUAGUAGAUACAAGAAUAAAAUAAUCUCUUUUAUAAAAGAAUAAAAAGAGGAUAAAAAAUAGAUUAGCCAGUUUGAUUUUUAGAAUUUUACAAUUGAAAAUUUUCUUCUUCUUCUUCUUAUUAUUAUUAUUAUUUAUGUGAGUUGGGUUACAUGGGUUCAUCAUAAUUGACUGAACCCAACCCAAUUGUUGAUUGGGUUAAAAAUAAAUUGACUCAAUUAACUCAUAAUAAUCCACUCAAUCCAUCAAAAUUAAAUUGGGUUGGGUUGGGUCAAUCGGGUUGGAUUGGGUUUGUCCACCCCUAGAACAAAGUUAAGAAAAAAUAGUUGAAUAUUAAUGAAAAGUUAUUGACAAAGUAGGAUUUUGCUCCCUUUUAUAUAUAAAAUUCAAAAUGACCAAAAGGGGUAAAAUUAAAUAUAAAAUAAAAUUAUAAUGUCUGAAUUUUUUUUUUAAAAAGAAAACUCAUACAAUUAAAAAUGGAAUUUCCUAUCAAUCCAGGUGGCUAAUCAACUUUGAAACAAAAUCAAUUUCAUCUUUCCAUAAACUUUAAAAUAGAAUGUUAUGUGUCCAAAACAGACACUUGUAACUCAAGUUACAGUCCUAAAAAAAUACAAAGGUCACAUUCAAGAUCAAUUAUAUUCUUAAUUUUUAUUUCUAAAUAUCUAUUUAAAAUUGGUUUUAAUUUGGAAGCUGAAGGUAACUUGCACUUGAAAACAUAACAUGCAUAUUCUUUGUGAAUGGUUUUAUAUUGCAAAUUUUCUGAACAAUGCCUUGAUCUUCAUCUUUAUGUAUCAUAGUGAAAAGCUCUUAUACUAUUAUAUAGUAAUAAAAAAUACUCUAGAGAUGCAACACAAUUUCAUGCUCUACCAUCAAAGAAGCACUACGAUAAAAAAAAAAAUAAAAAAGGGCCUUAGUGAUGCAAAAUAUCGUGGCUAUAGCGACGAAAACAUUUUCGUUGCCAUUUGGUAACAAUAAGUGCAUCGCAUUAGGUUUUUUACUUCGAAUUUUCAAAAUUCCUUGUUGAAUUCUUUAGUAACAAAAUUAUGUUGCAUGGAAAACGAUAAAGUUGACAAAACCUUUGUCACUAGAUUCAUAGCAAAAGGAGUAUUUUGUCAUAAAAAAAAAUACACUUUUACCGAUGAAACUGUUCAUCGUCAAAUGCCUCUUUUUUAGCAACAAAUACAAUUGUCCCGAAAAGAAUAAACUAUUCAUUAAUUUAUGUGCUGCAAAUAUCAAUUUUAGCGACCAAAUAUUUCAUCUCAAAAAGUAUUUUUAGCAACGAAUCAUAUUUUUUUACUAAAAGGUAUUAUUUUUCUAACAUUUAAUUAUUUUACUAUUGUUAAAAUAUUAUCAAUUUUAACACUAAAUUACAAUGAUAAUUAACACCAUUAUGAUAAAAAGAGAGUUAAAUAAUUUAAGAUGAAUUAUUAUUAUUGAUGAAAAAUAACAAAAUAAUUAAAAAGAUUAAUAUCUAUUCUUUCAAAAAAAAAGUUUUACAAAUGAAUAUAAAUUUAUUGAUUUUCUUCAUCUUCAAUGUUUCCUACAAAUAAACAUAAACAAUAAUUAGUUAACUUAUAGACAUAAUAGUAAUAUAAAUUGUAAUAAAUAAGAUAAGUGAAAAAGAAAGAAUACACCAUGUUAAAAAUAAAAAGGGAAAAUGAGAAUUAUAUAUUAGAGAUCAAAGACUAAAAGAUUAAAAGUAAGAGAAUGAGAGAAUGAGAAAAUGAGAAAGAAAGAAAGAAAGAAAGAAGUGAACUUUUUAGUAAUGGAAUUUAAUAUUCGUUGUUAAGACUUAAUUUUAAUAGAUAAUUAACUGUUUCAAAUCUUUAAACAAAUAUUUUCAACAACGAACUUAUAAUUUUGUCACUAAAAAUACUCAUUUAGUGAUGAAAAUUAAAUUUUGUCGUUAAAAGCCUGCAGCCUUGGUGGAAGAUUAUCACUUGAAUCUUUAAACCAAUAUUUUCAAAAAUGAGCUUAUAAUUUCGUCACUUUUUGGGUAACUUACAAUUUCAUCUUUAAAAAUACACAUUUAGUGACGAAAUUCAUACUUCAUCACAAAAAAGUCUAAAUUUUUGGAAAUAAUUUAAAUCUUUAAAUGAAUAUUUUCAAGGAUGAACUUAUAAUUUCAUCGCUACAUGUUUAUUUAGUAGCAAAAAAAUGUUUGUCACAAUUGGUAACUUUCUAGCGAUGAAAUCACAUCUUUAGCAAUAAAAUUUUUUUGUCGCAGAAAGAAGGAUUUAGCAAUGAAUAUUUCGUAGCUACAUUGAAAAAUUUUCAUGCAAAAUAAAUUUUCUUAUGACAACCAAAAAAAAUCGUAUCA